AGUGAACGCUGGCGGUAGGCCUAACACAUGCAAGUCGAACGGCAGCACAGUAAGAGCUUGCUCUUACGGGUGGCGCGUGGCGGACGGGUGAGGAAUACAUCGGAAUCUACUUUUUCGUGGGGGAUAACGUAGGGAAACUUACGCUAAUACCGCAUACGACCUACGGGUGAAAGCAGGGGAUCUUCGGACCUUGCGCGAUUGAAUGAGCCGAUGUCGAAUUAGCUAGUUGGCGGGGUAAAGGCCCACCAAGGCGACGAUCCGUAGCUGGUCUGAGAGGAUGAUCAGCCACACUGGAACUGAGACACGGUCCAGACUCCUACGGGAGGCAGCAGUGGGGAAUAUUGGACAAUGGGCGCAAGCCUGAUCCAGCCAUACCGCGUGGGUGAAGAAGGCCUUCGGGUUGUAAAGCCCUUUUGUUGGGAAAGAAAAGCAGCAGGUUAAUACCCCGCUGUUCUGACGGUACCCAAAGAAUAAGCACCGGCUAACUUCGUG
rnacentral:rRNA from 1 species